rnacentral:lncRNA from 1 species
UAUGGGGUUCGUUUGUCUGCGUCUUAUUGCGGUGAUCCAGACUUUUCGGCGAUUUACUGGAAACACUCACAUAUCACCAAUAAGAUAGUAGUUAAUGUAUUAAUUGAACUGAUGUCAAUAUAUUAAUUAAAACUAUGUGAUGCAGAAUAUUUUGGCCAAUCUCGAUACGAUCCAACUAUCCAAGGUGGAACAAGCUCACCAUGAUCGACCUUAUCACCUCAAACAUCA